rnacentral:pre_miRNA from 1 species
AGAUGAUGAUGGUGACGACGACGACGACGACGAUAAUGAUGAUGAUGAUGACGAUGAUGAUUAGCAACAAAAACCAAAGACCACAGACAACAACGAAGAAUAAAAUAAGUAUCAUCAUCAUCAUCAUCAUCGUCGUCGUCGUCGUCGUCGUCAUCUUCA